AUGUAUGCGCCCUUCGGGACUGGAGCUAAGGUGAGGACAGUCGCCAGCGCCAACGCGAUCUUCGAUCACGACUACUCCGAGAGGAACGUCUCGCUCUCCUGGUGCACGGAGGAGUGGCGCCAGCGGAAGCUGCUUUCUCAAGAGUUCAAGAACAUUUAUCUCAUGGCCUACGCAGACGGCGUCUUCUACGCGCUGGAAUUCCGGGGUUGCGCCUAUAGCGUGGACACACGUGUGCCGCCGCCGUGGCGCCUGAAGAAGCUCCGUGCGCCGAGCAUUCUCGAGCAGUACACCCUGAUCCACGGGCGCUUCCUCUGCUACUCCCACCUGCUCGAGUCGGAAGGGUCGGUCCUGUUUGUCGGUCCGGUGCUUGCACCACGACAACCCACAUGCCGUGAUACCAUCGGUGGCUUCGAGGUGUACAGGCUGGAUGUCGAGGUGUCACGAUGGGUGAAAGUGGAGAGGCUUGCUGCUGACAGGGCGCUUUUCGUGAGUGAGCAAUCAUCGUUCACGGUGCGCGCCUCGGAGGUGCCCGGGUGCAUGAGCAACUGCAUCUACUUUGUGGGUGAGGUUGACGAGUACUCCUACGUCACCUGGGGCGUCUACUCCAUGGAGGAGCGGAAGGUGCUGUUUCAGCGCCCCGUCGGUGGUUCUCGGGGAAGGUAUGCUGCUGCACGCUGGUUCCUCCCUGCUGUUGUGAUACCAUUUGCAGAUGCACGUGCGCAUUGUACACUCAGGAGAAAGGACAAAAAUCUAAGUUCUUCAGAAGGACAUGAGGAUGGGAGCAAUUGUGCAAAAUCAAGAUGCUACUAUGAAUCCUUUGGCUCUGAUUGA
rnacentral:rRNA from 1 species